rnacentral:lncRNA from 1 species
GGCCGGGAAGAGGCUGUCGGAGGCCGGGAUCACGGACCUGGUGAUCCUGGAGGCGACGGACCGCAUCGGCGGGCGCAUCCACAAGGAAAAGUUCGCCGGGGUGAACGUGGAGAUGGGGGCCAACUGGGUGGAAGGGGUGAACGGCGACGAGAUGAACCCCAUCUGGACCAUGGCCAACGGCACCGGCGGCCUCAACCUCAGGACCUUCCGCUCCGACUUCGACCACCUCGCCGGCAACACCUACAAGCAGGAGUACGUACGCCUGCAUGCAUGCCCGUACGUCGUGCCGUCGUUUCACAGGUAGCUGAGCUGAUUGCUUCGAUUCUUGUCUUGCGUGGACGCGCAGCGGUGGCCUCUACGACGAGAAGGUUGUUGAGAAGAUAAUCGAGAGGAUGGAAGAGGUGGAGGAGAGCGGGAGCAAGCUCUCCGGCACCUUGCACGCCAGCGGCCAGCAGGACAUGUCUGUCAUGGCCAUGCAGCGCCUCAAUGACCAGUACGUAUAUACGCACUUCAUGUUCCUCCUUGUCGUCAGUAGAGUGCUAGCUCCGAAGUGGGAGAUUCGUUAAUGCAAGACAUCAACACAUAUAGCUGUUGGAUCCAGCCCACCCGAUGGAUCUGAUGCUGUGAUGUCAAGAAAAAUAUUACCCCUGCUUGAUCAUGAGCAUAGGGAAAAAUACAUACUCACUCCGAUCCAUAUGAAUUGCCGUAGAUUUAAUACAAGCGACAAUUAACAUGGAUCGGAGUGAGUAGGAAUUUUCACCAGAGAUUCGAAUUGAUGGAAACUACCUACAAAUUAUGCAAAUGAAUACUAGGGAAUGUUCCUAUGAAUUGCAAUCUUCUCGUCAAACAACCCAUGUGAAAUUUUUCCAUAGAAUUAGAAUCAUCCAUCUUUUGACAAUUCUUUGAAUCAAAUAGGCCCUAAAUUGGACCUGGGGAUUGAAUAUCUUUUUUAUGGCAACGCGGAUUCAAAGUUUUAUUUGCGCCUAAUAGUAAGUUGAUAGCUCAUGCCUAACCUUUUCUCUUGCCCCCUAUAUACAUGUCUCCACCAAACCAUGGAUAAGUCUUAGCACAUAUAUAAUUCAAAAAAAAAGUCGUAUCACAUAUCUAUUCUUGUACUGAUGCAUUCCCAAUUAUUAUACGGUUCGCAAUAAACCUUCAAAUUAGUAAAUUUAGCAAGUGACAACAACUCCCCUUGUCCAACAGCCGCAUUUGCUACAUGAAAGUUUUAUAAAAUGCCAUGAGUUUUUGGUAAAGAAAAUACUAUUUUCCUUAAAAAAAAAGGUGAAUCACCAGUUAGCCCCCCUUUAUAUAAUUUCGUACGUGGAUUGUUAGCACGUCUAGCCCCCUUCAUAAUAUGUUUUAAUUAGAACUAUAAAAUAAAUUACAUUGGUCAUACAAAUAUUUAGAAACUAUUCUUUAUGAAGUCCAAUGCACUUGUCCAUCACAACUCCUACGAUCGUCCUAUUGGUACAUUUACAAUGUACCGCAAUCCAAAGAGGCCCCUAGCUUCCUAUAGAAAAGGUGAUUAGAUUACUGAAGUGUGAUAACACUAACUAUUUUACUUCACUCCCAUCGAUCUAAAGCUAUCUUAGCCACGUAUUCCCGGGGAAACAUAGAGCUUCUUCACAGAGUACACAAAAUAACGUCUUGGACCAAGUGCUGAAUUGUUUAAGAGAAACGAUUCCUCCCACCGACCGAUCCAUCGAUCGGAUCGUCUGGGUACGCACGCAUGCACGCGCUCUUCGCGGCUCUCUGUCAGCUUUCGGUUUUAUAAUAAGAGCAUCUUCAACAGUCUGUAUGUUUAAUCGUUGUUAUAAAUGUCCAUGUCAGCAGCCAGCAUCAUAUCAUACAAGCUCUUCAAUGGAGUGUAUGUUAACCGUAUGUAAAAUAGCCAAGCGGGUCUACUAGAUAUUGAAGAAAUGACCAUGCUUGUCUCGGAGCUUGUGCUUCAUACGAUUCCAUUCUCUCUCUUUUUGUUUUAUGUGUGAUGUCAUCAAAAUUGUCUAUAUGACAAUUUUAACAACGAUGAUUAUAUGACUAUUGGAGAUGCCCUAAGGCUGGUAGUAUGGUUGUAUCAUGCAUGUCAAUUACUCCCUUCGUCAUGGUAUAGAAUGUGUGCUUAAAAUUCUCAUGACCUGGAUGGUUAUUGAUUGGCUAUGAGAUGGGUUGAAAAAUAGCAUUCAUACUAUGCAUGCAUAUAGAAGUAGUACAACCGAGUACUAAUUAACUGUUAGGAGUAAAUGCAAUGCGUCUUAAACCUUGUCUAUUGUGGAAAUGCACGUAAAUUUAACUGUGUCUUCCAAACUGUGACAGAGGUAGUGGACAAUUUUGACAAGACGACAUAGAAUUGAAUAAAGAAAAAAAGUUUAGUAUCAUAUCAUGAUGCCAUAUUAUAUUAAAUGAUGUAUUAUUACGUGUCAUGUAUGAUAAUAAAUGAAUUACCCUAUAAUACUAACAUAUAAUACUACUCCCUCCGUCCCUGCACCAUGACAAAGAUGGAGAGGAAAACGAAAGAAAUAAAUGCUAAUUUGCUAAUUAAUACCAUUACAUGCAAUGAAUUGAUCACUGCAUGUCAUGCUAGUUGGUCUUAAAUCGUUAAAAACAUACACGUCACAGUCUCUUAUUGAUUGAUUCAUUUAUUCAUGUCAAAAAAUACGAAACGAGGAAAAAAUUAAUGCAUGGCGCCUAAGUGUUUUCGGUUUAUUUGAUUUUCGUAAGAUGACUUAUACACCGAAACGAAGAGAGUAUAUAUUAUGAAUGUAGUAGCAUACACUAAUAACAUGUGCAUGAUACUAAUAUAUGACACCCUUCAUUACAACCAACCUAAGCUUUGAAAAAUCUAAAUCUAACGAUGUUUUGAUACACGGCACCUAAAGCGUCGCCCACGGUUCAAACCACAAGCGUUGACAGCUUUAAUUACCAUGUGCCUCUUGCCGUAACAUCAAGCAACAGCCACUUCGCAAGCAAUCUUUCCUAUUUGUAGAAACAAAACAAUAAAUCAUGGUAAUUACUUACAAUAUGUUCUUGCUGCCGAUACAAAGUACCAACAUUAUCUGAUGACAUGUAUUAUACUUCCUCCGUCUUAAAAUAAAUGAUUCAAAAGUAGCUCAACUUUGUACUAAAAUAGUACAAAACUAAAUUAUUUUUAAGUCACUUAUUUUGAGACGAAUGGAGUAUAUGCUAUGGACUGAGUCCGAUAAAAGAUAACGGAAUUCUUACAUACUAUUCUGUUGUUGUACCCAUUUUAUGCAGUUUAUAUUUGUUUCCCUGUUCAUUUAAUAUGUGCGAUAUAUGCUCCCUCUGCAGUAUGCCUUCGGGGCCCGCGACACCAGUUGACAUGGUAAUCGACUACUACCAGCACGACUUCGAGUUCGCCGAGCCGCCGCGCGUGACGAGCCUGCAGAACACACAACCACUGCCAACGUUCAACAACUUCGGCGAUGACGUUUACUUCGUGGCGGACCAGCGGGGUUACGAGUCCGUGGUGUACCAUGUCGCGGGGCAGUACCUCAAGACCGACCGCAAGUCCGGCGCCAUCACCGACCCAAGGCUCAAGCUAAACACGGUGGUGCGGGAGAUCACCUACUUCCCCAGCGGCGUCGCGGUGAGGACCGAGGACAACAAGGUGUACCGGGCCGACUAUGUCGUGGUCUCCGCCAGCCUCGGCGUCCUCCAGACCGACCUCAUACGGUUCAAGCCGCAGCUGCCGUCGUGGAAGAUCGUGUCCAUCUACCAGUUCGACAUGGCCGUGUACACCAAGAUCUUCCUCAAGUUCCCCAAGAGGUUCUGGCCGGAGGGGCCCGGCAAGGAGUUCUUCCUCUACGCUAGUGGUAGGAGAGGGUACUUCCCGGUGUGGCAGCAGUUCGAGAAGCAGUACCCUGGGUCAAAUGUGCUGCUGGUCACGGUCACCGACGACGAGUCGAGGAGGAUCGAGCAGCAGUCCGACAACCAGACCAUGGCGGAGGCGGUGGCGGUGCUCAGGAAGAUGUUUCCUGGGAAGGAGGUGCCGGACGCCACGGAGAUCCUCGUGCCGAGGUGGUGGUCUAACAGGUUCUUCAAGGGCACCUUCUCCAACUGGCCCAUUGGCGUCAACCGCUACGAAUACGACCUCAUCCGGGUAAAAAUAUCUACUACAUUUGUCUUGCAUUUGAGUCCUUCUCCGCUAUCUGAUUUUGUUCUUUGAUUUAAAUUAGGCUCCCGUUGGGAGAGUUUACUUCACCGGGGAGCACACGAGCGAGAAGUACAACGGAUAUGUCCAUGGAGCGUAUCUUGCAGGUACAUAAAAACUAGUUCUGCCUCUCUUUUUUAGAUUCUCAGGCUCUGCAUUGUUAAGAGCUUUUUAACUUCCCCUUUUCCGUAUCCUAAGGUAUUCACAUGUGAUCUGACGCUGUUUUCUAGGUAUUGACUCUGCUGACAUUUUGAUCAACUGUGCCAAGAAGAAAAUGUGCAAAUACAAUGUCAAGGGAAAGCAUGACUAACCCAAAGGUAACUAUACAAGUAUUUCAUACUAGUACUGCUAGCAUUUAACCGAUAAAAGUUGUUUCUAACUGUUGCUCCCCUCAUAUGGUAUUCCGAUCUUAUCUUAAUAAUUUUUUCCAGUUGCCUAAUAAUGGUAUCAUAUUUCCCCCCGUGUUGCAGGUUAUUAACCACAACAACAGAAACACCAGAAGUUGUGGGUCAAUAAAACCGAGUUUGGGCGCAAGCAUUAUUCCGGUGUUAUGAUUGUUUGGUCAUUCUUCAACGGCUUCUUCGGAUACCCAUUUCACAAAAAAGAAAAUAACUCUUCACAUGUGAAUUGUGAUUAAGCAAGCUACCAACUGGUUAAUAAAGUUGUACAUUGUCGAUGGCUGCUUUUUUUAACUCAAUGCAUUGCAUUAAACAGUGUGCGAAGUCAAAUCGCUCGCCACGAGGACAAAUACACACGGAUCACAUCCGUCAAAUACAUAGUCAGGCCAUAAGCGUUCCCUUCACAACCAAAGCAUGCGCUACUUAAUUACAUAUUCUGGGACAGUGUUCAAUCUUAUACCUCACGAACUAACUACGAAUAAAAUUUCUAAGCCGAUCAAAUAUAACAAACAGACAGAAGAAACUGACGCCCUCCUCUUGGAUUGCUUCUUUCAGCAGUAGUGCAUCAGUUUUUAAAAUAAUCUUCACAACCCUCAACUCCAACAUUAGUCUAAGCCCAGCUUCGGCAGCAAGCAUCUUAGCAUGUAAGGCACUUUGAAUGUUUGGAAGGAAACAUGCAGCGCAAGAUACCACCUCGUCGUCUUGGUUUCGGAGCACAGCGCCCCACCCGCUACUCAACUUUGUCGCCUUAAAAGAGCCAUCAACAUUUAUCUUAAUCCGUGUCGAUGGCUGCCUUGACUGGCUAGGCUAGAGAAUAAUUGGGACGAAGGACCCGUAUGUGCGUACGUACAUAUGCCGAUCCUAUCUGUACCCAGUAGUAUAACGUGUAGCAUGCCAUGGUUGCCUACUGGAGUAGGUGAGUCGCCGUGCUUCGCCGCGUCGGCUGUUGUCGGCGCUGAUAGCUCAUGACCAAUGCAAACAGACUCUUUGUUCGCAAACUUAGAACGAAAAUCAAGCCCACACAUCUUUUCUGACAUAUAAUGAUGAGACGAAAGCAAACAGCUUACGAUAAAACUCAUAAACAUCAAGCAAAGUAGCAUCGAAUCCCACUAGGUUUAUAAUUCUAAGAAGACAUGAUCUUCCCGAAAGCUUACUGGAUCGACCUCGUGGGACAUGCAUGCCUUGGCCCAAGACCGACCGGGAGACAUGAUUCCACACGCCCUUAUGGAGCAUACUCCAGCUGCACGUUUACAAAGUGCAAAAAGAAGCACAUAUGAUCUCAACAAGGAGGCACCCAUACACUAUACUUCCAUCUAGUGAUCUCGUUGGUGCCAGGUCCGUCCAUGGCACACUCAACGAACUUUCAAGCAUGCUUCGGCUUCAGCCUAAACAGCGUGUCGCAUCUCCUCUUUUCGCACCCACCAGUUCCAAGGGCCAUAAAAUAUGGUGCAAUCCCAAUGGAUGAAUCUGUUUUGUGUCAAAAUAAUUAAAACUGAGGGGCCGGCAAUCAGAGUUUGAUAUGCCGAAAGAGAAACCAUUAGAGCAACUCUAGCGGAUUCUUUGGAUACUGGCUAAUUUUUUUUAAAUAUUGCAUUUUUUUAUUCUUUUUGACAAAUAAUGCACCAAAUCAAAAAAAUUGAAAAAUAUACCUGCUUCGGCCUUGUUGUGGCCGAGUGGGAGCCGUCGGCCCCGCCCAAGCCGACAGGAGGCUGUCGGCCCCGCCCCAGCCGACAGGAGCCUAUCGGCUUCCACGUGGCCGAUUAGUGGCCAGUCGGCUUUGGGGAAGCCGAUAGGCCACUAGUGGCAGCGCCUCCUCCCCUCUCCCUCCUUUCUCAGCUAUUUCUUCUCCCUCCUCUAUUUCUUCUCCUUAUUUCUUCCCUUAUUUACUUUUGCUGUUUUUGAUGGAAGUGUCAUCUUUUUUCCUCUUUGGAAUUUUAUGUUAGCUAUUUUAUGUUAGCUCGCAAUUUUAUGUUAGCUAUUUUGCCUACACGUCUCCAUUCCCGCCUAAUUUUUCGCACCACCUUUCCCGCCUAAUUUUGCCCGUUCCGUUUCCCGCCAACUAUUUCUCUUAUUUCGCGCCAAAUCUUUCCCUCCUCUUUUUCCCGCCAUAUUCCUGGUCAUCUAAGUCUAUAAAAGGAGGCAUUGGACUGCCUUCCUCCAUCAUCCAGCCUCACUUGAGAACACUAGCACUGCCUUGCAUCCUCCAUCAUCCAGUGAACAUGAGUUUGCCUUGCUCGGAUCAGAGCAUCAGGCCUAAGAAAAUGCAGAGUGUGAGUUUGCCUCGGGGUGUGGAAGCAGUUCGAUGUUGGUGCGGUAAUCUCUGCAAGGUGAAGGAGGUGACGGAUUUUUCAGAUUAGUUGGGCAUGAAGUUUUUCAUGUGCGCCAAUUAUGAAUCUGAUCCGCCCGAAUCUAUUUUUGCGUACCUCAGGCCUCCGGUAUGCUCAAGUUAUCCAGAGUAAAUAUGUUGUUGAUAUUAUUGUUUACUUGAUAUUUAUAUAUAUUUUUUGUAGUCUCCUCCUCCUCUCUGCAUGUACUAUCGUUGGAUUGACACGGAAAUGCCGGACUGGGNGGUGAUGGAAAAGGGAAAUAUCCACGCUGGACUCAGUAGAUUUAUUAUAAUUUCAGCACGUUGUAUCUUAAUUUGAGCAAGUUGUAUUUUAAUUCCGGCAAGGUCUAUCUUAGUUUGUCUGUAAUCUCAAGUUAUUGGUAGUAUAUGUGUUAUCCACGAAGAACGAACUGAGCAUUUUUGUUCCCGCCUUGCUUUCCCGCCAUUUUGUUCCCGCCUACCUUUCCCGCCAUUUUGUUCCCGCCUACCUUUCCCGCCAUUUAUUUCCCGCUCUUCGGCACCUAUAAAACCCUCUCCACAGCAAGGUUGGUAAGGAGUGUGCUCAAAAUGUCUCAUUAUCCUUUUGAUCGUAGUUUUCACAGUGGUAUGUCAGAGUGUCUUCUACGCUUGGCUAGCAAUUUCAAGAUAGUCAAUAAAAUAGUUUCAUGGGACGAACUCAUCAGUAGUGACACGCUACUGAAUGAGGUUUCUCAUGCAUUAGCUAGGAAGGGGUGGCCUGCAAGGACAUAUGAGGAGAUUCGGAAGGAACUUCUGCGGUUGAAUGAAAGGUGGAAGAAGAAAGGGCAGCACAUACGCGGUGGAGGUGGAGUAAAACAUCCUUUUUUAUGGAUUGACGAUAGCGAGGACGAAGACGAUAUCUUCAUGCCGAGUAGCAAGGACAAGAGGGCAGCAUCAACGAGUGCCAAGAGUACCGCUUCGUCGAAGGGCCAGAGCUCUGCAUCAUCGAAAGAUGACGACGACUUUAUGUAGUUCUUGUAUGAACUCUGCAUCUUAAUGUAUCUUAUUUUAUGUAUCUUAUUUCAUGUAUCUUAUUUUAUGUAUCUCCGGAAUCUUACUUUGUUUGUAAUCUCAAGUAAUUGAUAGUAUAUGUGUUAUCCACGAUGAACCAACUGAGCAUAGAAAUAGAUAGGAAUAAGUCUCAUAGAUAAAAUACACAUAUGUCUCAUAGAUAAAAUACACAUAUGUCUCAUAGAUAAAAUACACAUAAGUCUGAACUGAACAUAGCAGGGCAACGAGUUUGCUUCACUCACGAUGUCUUGGUUGGCGCUCUGGGGGUGUGGGGGGUGUACUCCAUCCCCACCUGUGGGGGGCCUAACGUUACGAGGAGGAAUCUCGGAUCCAUCCUGGUCAUACUGUGUAUCCUGUGUGGGCCACGGUGGAGGAGUCGAAAACAUGUCCAACCACAUGUUUUGCUGUGAUGGUGGCUCAUCUGGUUCACUCCCUAACCCGGAUCUGGACGCCGACAUCUCUUGCAGCUCUCCUGUCCCUAACAUGUCUCUGUGUGCAAACAUUUAGUCUGUUACGUAUCAGCUCAUAUUUCCAUUGUUAGUUCUGCUUGCAGAGUUUCUUGAAUAGAUUCAUGAGGUUCUUAUUUCUAAAUUGCGAGAAGAAAUUUGCCCCUAGAUGGCGCAUGCACCAGCGACUCUGAAUGUGCUGCCAAGGAGCUUGUUCACCGGGAGCAGGGUUUGACAAUGUCUUGAUCGUGUUGAGUAUACCUGCAUGCCUAUCAUGAAGGAUGCACACAUUCUGCUUAUCUUGCACAACAACUAUUUUCAACUGCCUGAAGAACCAUGUCCAACUCUCGAUGUUCUCGCUCUCCACAAAAGCAAAUGCAAGUGGGACGACUUGAUUUUGCCCAUCUUGACCUAUGGCUGUGAGGAUCUGACCCUUAUACUUGCCAGUGAGAAAUGUGCCAUCAACACAUAUCACCGGUCGACAAUGUUUGAAAGCUUCAAUGCAGGCACCGAAAGAUAAGAACAUCCGAUGCAACACCCUAACCGUUGGGAACUCUGGCAGGUACAACUCUUGGAUGUCAACAUACGUGCCAGGAUUCCGGUUCUGCAGUGUCUGCACGAGCCGAACAACAGAGUCAUAUGCAUCAAAAUAUGAACCAAAUCUGGUCUCCAGUGCCUUCUGCUUAGCCCUCAAGCCUUGCCAUAUGAUAUGUUGUACUUUAACCUGACGAAGACUUUUUCUGGAUAGCCUUCACUUCCAUCGCCUUGCACUCCACAAUCUCGCUGUAAAGCAAGCGAGCUAUCACAGUGGAAGUAAGGUUGGGAUGAUCUUGAGGGAUGCAUGGAAUAACACAAUUAUGACUAACUAAGUCACUUAUGACCCAGCUUAUGUCGUACUUAGGGAGAUAUCCAUACACCCUAGCGGGACAACCCUGAUUUCUACAAACCAUUGUCAACUUAUCCGGACAAGAUACUUGAGCUACAAAUACCCUUUGAGUGCACAUUGCCCAAUUAAGGAUGGCAUCCUUCAGAGCUUGUUUGUUCGGGUAGAGGGCACCUGUUGCAAUGUUGUUCUGGUGAUACUGCGAGGCAGAAUCAUGACCGUCGUUCACCAACAUUGCAGAUGAGAAGUCCUGAUUCCAUGAUGCAGGAAUAGGCACUUCAUGUGCGUGCUCUUCUCCAUCUGAUUCGACGGAUUCAUUGAAAAUAUCACCCGCUAUAUCUUCUUCAUGCAUCACGUUUUGCAUGUGCCCAUCUAUCUCGUCGGCAUCCGCCUCACCGCUGAGAUAAUCAUCUGCAUCUCCCCCUUCUGCAUGACUACUCUGGCCUGCUUCGUAAAAAUCAUCCCCAGCAUGGGACGCAUGAAUUGACUGUGAAUCAUGCAUCCCUACACUGCUCUCACCAUAUUCAAAGCUACGUUCCGCUUCAGGUUCAGUAACCGGCUUUAGCACGGGGAGAAGUAAGGCCACAGGAUGACAUCCCCUACGCUCGCAAGAUUGUAACAAGCGCACCCACUGGUCGUCCCGCUCUAUAUGCUUCAAAUACCAGAAAAUAUUACCAGUGGACCGGGUCCAUAAUGCAUGAACACCUACGGUGUGUGUUUUAGUAUUGAACCCUAAACAUCGCGCAAGACAUUCUGUCAACUGAGUAACAGACCAUGUUUUAGGGGAGGACACCUGCACCUCUGUGUACUGAAAUUCACUAAGAUCAGCUCCCAUCUCAUUUGUUUGAACGGUACCACGACCAUAGUGCAAACAUAACGUCACUAAAUCAGACAUCUCUGCUGACCUAACAUAUUAUUCAACAAGGAAAAAUAUUAGAAGAACGACAAACGGAAAUAUAUUUUCCAAAUCUAUCGGAGAACCUAAACAUAUUUACACUACUUCAUUUACUAAACUUAAUUUAUACUAAUCUACCGGAGCACCUAUAACUAGUUAAACAACUAAACUUAUACUAAUCUAUCGGAGCACCUAAAACUAGUUAAACAACUAAAUUUAUAUUAAUCUACCAGAGCACCUAAAAAUUGUUAAACAACUAAAUUUAUACUAAUCUACCGGAGCACCUACAACCAGUUAAACAACUAAAUUUAUACUAAUCUACCGGAGCACCCAAAACUAUUUGAACAACAAAAAUAUUUUACCCUUGAAGCGUGCGCAGAAACGAUGAACGACGAACGAUGAACACCGAUAUUAAUCCCACACCACCACCUCCAACUCCACCAAAACAACCAACUACACCCACAGCACCACCACCACCACAAAUAGCCUCAAAACANUCAACCUCCACCACCACCACCAAAAAUAGCUUCAAAACAUGCACCACAAACUACCACAUUGCGAGUGAGAAGGAUAGUUUGGAUGCCCUCCUCCUUACACAACAAAUGUAUGGUUCAAAAAGUGGAAAUGGCAGAUUUUUUGGGUGGGGGAGAAGGUAGGAGGAGAAAGAAAGAAAGGAGAUAAGGUAGAAAGGAGAAGGAAGAAAGAGGAAGGAGGAAGAAAGGAGGAGGGGCUGGCGGCCACUAGUCGGCCUCCCCCUGGCCGAUAGCCCUAUCGGCUACGCCAGGGCCGACAGGCUUGGCCGACUGGCCUGUCGACGUGGUCUGGCCAGUAGUCGGCCGCCACGUGGCCGAGAGGCCCUUAUCGGCUUUGCCUAGGCCGACUGGACCCCUGUCGGCCGCGCCGACCCGACUGGAUCCUAUCGGUGACACCAGGGCCGAGGCAGACCCAGAUUUGAAAAUUUUCAAAUGGGCGCAUUAUUUUUCAAAAAGAAUAAAAAAAUACAAUAUUAAAAAAAAAUUAGCUGGAUACUGACCGUCUUCCAUGAAAACUGAUAUUAUAAAGAUCCAAGGAAAAACUGUACUCUAGCGCAUUCCCUAUACCUCCACUAUCCCUAAAAGGCUAAAACUGUUACAGGUCACUAAUAUAUAAACAUGCCUCUAGACUUUAUUCUAUAUUUAAAGGAAGGAUGAAUUUUUUUUUUACGAUGCAGUCUAUCCACAAAUGUUUUGGCGCCAAAACAUUUUAGGACGUGCCUGAUCUCCCACCACCGCCCUCCUCACCACAUUGCCACCGUUCCGGUGGUCAGAACGGCACUAUCUGUCACAACUCAACUCCACGGACAUUCCUGCGGUAACCCCACAUCACCGCCACGUGUCAAUAUCUGUCAAACUCAACUCCACAGACUUGUUCCUGUUGUAACCCCGCCUCAUCUCCACUGGUAUGUGUAGGGGCUGUUUGGUUGGCAGCCCCAGCUUGCCAUGCCUAACAUUAGGCGAGCCACAAGUCCGUAGGCACGUGUUUGGUUCUGCGCUGAGAUUAGGCUCGCCACAACAUGGAGGGGAUUCUGCCGCAGAAUUUUUCGUCAGAUGUGUGGCGCUCAUUUUUCCCGCUGCACCGCCCGCGGCGCGCCAACGCAGCCGAGAAAAAUCCCCCCCCAAACGCCAACGUCGUUAAAGUCGCCCCUUCCUUUUUUCCCCAUCCUCCAGUUCGUUGCUCCCCUCGCUCUCACUACAACCCCAUGACAGAGAGCUUCCCCUGAAUUUCUAAUUGAUCUCGUUGAAGAUAAGAUGCAAUAUUAUACUAGCUGGUACAUUCCUCCCCUCCGCAGCAAUCAUCUCAUCCAUCUCAUCUCUCCCUUGGCUCAUAUUCAUCACGUAUGUGCAGAUCUGGGCCUCUAUAUUUUUCAAGAAAAAACAACAACCAUCUACCAAGAUCUGAGCGAUUUCCCAAUAUAUUCGGCUGAUUGUUUGUAUUCCUAUUGUGCGUAUACUACUGUCUUCUCUCUCAGAUUCAGAGGUCAAAUUUCUGUCAAGAGAUAAGGUAACAACACACCCCCUUCUGUAUUUUGCUUCAUGUGUGUACGAGUGACAGAACAAAUAAUCAAUGCAAUGUAAAAUAUGUUGUGUGAAUAUAAGAUUUCGAGUUUCCUAUGUUAUUUUCUCAAAGAUCUGGUGCAUCAUAGGUUCUUUGCUUGAGUAAUUAAAGUUCCCCUCUGUUCAACUCUUUUCAGAUAAUUUUUUAUGUACUUAUACACACUGAUGCCAUCAUAGUUUUAUUAACUGUAUUAUUGUUUCAUAGAUGGAUCCAAGUAUAUUAUGCUUACAAUAUUACACGCAUUACUAUCUGUACCACAUGUGGAGGAGAAGAUUGUUUGCUGCCAUUAUUGUGUGUUUAGCCAUGUACUGGUACAAGAUUAAUAUUCAAAAAAGGAAGAGAAAAUAUGUAACUUAUGCUCCCAUGCUCGAACGAGAUGUUGAAAGGGUGUCACGACUAAACCGUAUGUACUAUGGAACUGAGGCUCACUGCAUAAGUGAGCUGCGCAUGCGGAAAGUUGUUUUUCACAAGUUGUGUGCCAACCUGAGACGUCGUGGUCUGUUGGUGGACACUUUCCAUGUAUCAGUGGAGGAGCAAAUUGCCAUGUUCAUCCAUGUUGUGGGACAUAACUAGAAAAACAGAUCAGUUGGUUUUGAGUUUUAUCGAUCAGGCGAGACAGUUAGUAGGUACUUCAAUGCUGUUUUAGAUGCCCUGUGUGUCCUUGCCCGUGAUGUCAUAUGCAUAAGAUCCAUUGAAACACAUUCGAAGAUAACAAGUAGCUCCAGAUUUCACCCUUACUUUGAGGUAUAUCCAAAACUAUUCAUUAGUAUCUGCAAUCUAUUUAUAGAUUCCAUUCAGUCCAUUUGAAACUAGUUCUAUGUUUUCGUAGGGAUGCAUAGGAGCUCUGGAUGGUACUCAUAUACCGGCAUGUGUGCCUAUCCACAUGCAGGAUAGGUUUAGGGGUAGAAAGUCCAUUCCCAUACAAAAUGUGCUAGCAGCCGUUGAUUCUGACCUAAGAUUUAUAUAUGUUCUUGCUGGAUGGGAGGGAUCUGCCCAUGAUUCUUAUGUGCUCCAAGAUGCCCUAUCUCGUCCCAAUGGCCUUAAAAUACCAGAAGGUGGGAUUCUAACCCAUGGCUUCAAACUAAAACUUGCUUUGGUCCUUAGCUAAUGUGUUAGCAACAUGAUGAUGUAGGUAAAAUUUUUCUAGCGGAUGCAGGAUAUGCUGCAAGACCUGGUAUACUGCCCCCAUAUCGUGGUGUUCGAUAUCACCUAAAAGAAUAUAGGGGAGCUAGAGAGCCGGAGAACCCAAGAGAGUUAUUCAACCAUCGCCAUUCCUCACUUAGAACAACUGUGGAAGAGCAUUUGGUACCUUGAAGAACAGAUUUAAAAUAUUUGCAAGUCAGCCAUUCUUCCCUCUGAAAACACAAAUAAAAAUUGUGUUUGCUUGUUGUGCACUCCAUAACUGGAUCUUAGAUGAUGGUCCGGAUGAGUAUGUCUAUGAUGAUGCUACUUGGUACUCUGCUCUUCCACGGAGUAGAAGAAACCGUCGUGACGUUUACCAGGAGAGUCACGCUUGGGCACACAAAAGGGAUGUACUAGCUCAAAAAAUGUGGGAGGAUAACUUAGCAGAUCAAGAUCAAGACGAUUAAGAAGUGAAUAUGUAAUAUGUCAUAUUUCUAUGUAUCAAACAUGAGUGUUAUUUUGUUAUAUGUGAGACUAUGUUGGUUGUACCUUUGUUAACUUGUUGCACUUAUUUGCACUUUAGUAAAAUUGUUGGUUGUUUCAUGCCUGUUUGCCUCACCACUUUUUGAUUAAAAUGACUCUCUCCGUUAGAAACAGUGAUGGCUAAGGGAAAGGUGAAGGUUGAUGGUGAUGAGAAACAGAGGACUAUUUCUUGGGCUGAUGAUCAGACCAAGUUUAUGUUAGAUUGGUGCAUUGAAUACAUGAAGGAACAACAUGCAGGAUUUAGGUUCAGGAAGCAUCAUCUUAUGAAGUGUGCUGAUGCUUUAAAUAGAAAAUUUGCUAUGGGGGUGACACUUUCUCAAGUUGAUCGUCACUUCAGGCACUACAAAGAAAAUUGGAAGUACAUUGCCGCAGCAAUCAGCAAGAGUGGCAAUGUUUUUGAUGCUAUUAGAUGUGUGGUAACCAUUUCCGAGUCAGAAAAGUCUUGCCUCAAUGUAUGUAUAAUAUAGUUACUUUUUGAAACUUACUAUGAUUGUUGCAUUUAGGAACUUAAUUUCUUUGUUCUUUUGAUGCAGGAUAGAGCAAGGCGCUUGCUUUCCAAGCCUAUCAAGUUUUACUAUGAAAUGCAGGAGUUAUUCACAGUCACUAGUGCUGAUGGUUCUUUGGCCAUGGACCAGCAUACAUGCACAAUUGAUUCUGAUGACUUGGACAGUGAUGAAGGGUUGUAUGACCUUAACAGCUAUCCACAAUAUGAGGGGCCACUUGAGGAGGAUUCUGAUACUUUGCCAACAACAUAUGUUCCUAAAAGGCCUCAAAUUCCUGUAGGUGGUGAUAAUUCCUCAUCUAGCACUAGUCGUGUUGGUACGAAGCGCCCAAGAGGUAGCAGGUCACCUACUAAGAAGCCAUCAAAAACCAAGAGUCGUUUCGUGGAGUCCGCUGAGGAAAUCAACUCCACAUUGAGAUCACUCCAGCAAUCACUUAUUGCCGCUCCUCCUCCCCAAAUGCCCCAAGUUGUUGACCCUUAUGCUAGUUUAUGGCAGAGGUUGGAGGUACUCCCAAUUACCACUGAUCAGAGAAUUACUGUUGGUGUGCACUUAUCUUCCAAGGACAAUGAAGGUUUGCGUAGUUGGUUAUGUAGUGCAAGCGACAAAACUUUUGAAACUUGGGUCUGGAAGUUCUUUAACAAAGAUGACAUUUAGAAGAUAGCAACCUAUGAAGUUUGCAAGUUUCUCACUUGUGAUGUUUAGAAGAUGGCAACUUGUGAACUUUAGAAGAUGACAACUUUUGGUAAUUAGGACAUGAUAACGUGUGAUGUGUCUGCUCACUACUUUUGGGAGUUGAACUUGUGCUAUGACCAUUGCUUUUGGGAAGUGGAUCUUUUGAUGUGUAGUGUAACACUUUAUUGUAACUUGGCUGAAACUUGUGAUAUAUAUGGCUAGAACUAUUACUUUGUGACAUUGUUCUUGAAAACAUCAUUUCGCGACUUUAUGAAUGAUGCUUGAAACUUGCAUGCAUCUAUCUUAUUUUGUAUCUUUAUACUGAUUGGGGUUGCUUAUUUUUACGCUGAUGGGAUUAAUAGAAAUUCUCGAAUCUAUUUUUUAUUGUUAUUAUUGUUGUGACUAAAUAUUCUUACAUUUAUUAGAGCAUGCUAUAUAUGUGUUUUUUGCCAUAUGUGGUAGGAAACCAAACACAGACCACAGUUUUUUGCCAACAUAUGUGGAAGCAAUCCAAACGGACACCACACAAAAUUUGCCACACCUAACCUAAGGCAUGGCUACCAACCAAACAAUUUGAUUUUGCCACAUAUUGGGGCAAGCCACAGGUGUGGCUGGCACCUCACCUUAGGCAUGGCAUUUUAAGUCUCCAACCAAACAGCCCCGUAGUGUCCCUACCUGGUUGUGUGACGCUUUACCCAUAUCAAGCGGUUGGCCAUGCAGAUCUCAUCCAUGACUACUUUGUGCCAAAUCCCCUGCAAUCACGCAUAUAUUCCGGGCCGAAAACUAUACAAGUAAAAAGAUUAUAGGCCGAAAACUAUAAAUAAGAUUACAUGAGAUGAGAAAAAAGGACGCCCAAGACAAGGCCCUGCCUAGCUAGCAGACCGAAGGACGAAUCCAUAGGAGGCACAAGUAGAUCUGGAGUGUUGUCGAAGGAUCACAAUACCAUGACUAAGCAAGCAACCUAACGCACCGCACCAACGUGCAUACCAAACCUCACGACACAACUCAGCAGCAACGAUAAUAAACGAGUGACAACACGAACCUUGUCUGGGGGCUUCGCCUUGAUAAUUCCAAACGAUUAGCAAGUUGGGGAGGCAUCUCACGUCAUCGAAGAGUAAAAAUGUACCAGGAAAACACCAAGAGCACUAAGCUCACCGCAACACAAUGGCCACCAAGGGAGGAACUUGAACAUGCAUAGCAACAUGGCCCAUACCAUGGAAAACCACCCAAGAUGGACACAUAGGAAGCAGGGCAGCAGCAACACAAACCACCGUCGACCCCAAUCGGCCGCACCACCACCAACAAUAGUCCGACAACAAGAAACACCCGCACAACAACCAUGUUGACCUCAAAGAUGAUGCCUGCAAGAAGGGUUGCGACGCUGGUUGCGUCGCCAUCAUUCGUACAGGACGACCUGGACUUGGGUUUCCCCCAGGAUCUCGACGAGGAGGGUGCAAACAACAAAAACAAUGACGCCUCCAAAGAGGUUAGCGGUGCCCACAGGUGUCGCCGCCGUCGCCUCCAGGUGGAGCAAGGCUUUCUCCCAAGUUGAUCUGACACACUCCCGAAGAUCGGUUGAGUGAGGUGGGAGCCGAUCUGCACCACCACAAGACACCAUGGCCGCCCCGACGUUGCCCAUGGUCAGGUUCAGACCACCGUAGGCCGGAUCCGGCAGAUCCUACCCACACACGUUGGGCUUGCCAGAUUCAAGCAUUCUGGGCCAACCCCACACCGCAGCCCCCCACCCCCACCCCACUCCUGCACACGACGAGGCAGAGCAGCCACCAUAGCCAGCCGCACCGAAUGGAGAUCACCGAUGGCCAGCCCGACCGCAUCCAGCCGCAGCCUACCCAUGAACAGAGGCCGACCCCGGCCAGCUGCAGCCGCACCAAGGGACGAGAUGUCGUACCUUCAUAUCUCAUGAGUAAGAAAGCCUCCCGAUGCGGCCAGAAACCACCAAGGCCUCGCCGCACGAGCGGCCGAGGGGCCUAGCCACCAGCACCAACAGCGGCCUCCUUCCAUCGUCGUCGUCUUGCCACCCGGGACCACUGCCCCCGCGAUCGCUUCCCUCCGCGUGAGAAACAGAGAGGCGAGAUCCCCCCGCCACCGUCACCGGCAGCCACGCGGGCUUGCCCGACAACCUCCUCAGGUGGGGGCGAGCUAGAGAAGGGGAGGAAGGGGUGGCAGCGCGCGGAAACCCUAGUCGUCGCCCGAGCUGACGACGCAGGGGCCGAGCGUGAUGAUAUUUCUCGAAUGUAUAUAUAAUUUUUGUAUCAUUCAUGCUACAUUGUUAUCAAUUUCAUACCCUUUUGGCAUAAUUUUUAUCUAAGUGUUCUUUUUUCUCAUGACCCACACAACACAAUCAAGCAAAUACAUGGUGUACCAUGCACAGUCAUGGUGACUUUAAUUUUACACAUCAAGAGCAGACUUAAGGUAGCUCGGAUGAUUAGCUUGUGGUGGAACCAAUCCAUCACGGUUCAAGUCGUAUACUUGGCAUUGAUAAUUGUAUUUUUCUUGUAAUUAUUCUAGGCCCUCCGGUGUCGGCGAUGUGCAUUCAUACAGUGGGAAGAGACUUUUCUCUCGACUACUAAAGCGUGUGUGACGAUUUCGUCAAUCUCAAGAUGAUGUACCGGCUCAGUUUUUUAAAGAUGCUCACAGGGGUAGAAUCUACGUAUGUGUGUUGAUAGGGGCGAAUGUAUGUGUAUAUGUAUGAACAAACUAUGCACACAAAGCAACAUGUGCGUCCGCAUGCAGGAAAAAAGGGGUCCAUUGUCCUUUUCACGUGAUUUCCCUCGCAAGCCGCUCCAUGUUUCAGCUUUCUAAAUGUGACUAAACAAGCUACCAAGUGGUUAAUAAAGUCGGUCUUUAUCGAUGCUUGCCUUGACUGGCUACGCUGGAAUAUUUGGGACAGAGGACCCGUAUGUACGUACGUUAUGUACAUGUGUCAAUCCUAUCUUUACCCGGUAGUAUAACGUGAAUCAUGGCAUGGUUGCCUAUUGUAUUGGAGUAGGUGAGUCGCCGCGUAGGCCGUCGUCGGCGGUGUAGCUCAUGACCAAUGCAAACAUACCCUUUCUUCACAGAAUUAGAACUCAAAUUUAGCAGUCAAGGCCACACAACUUUUUGACAUAUACUCCACUCGUAAAUGGAAGCACCACUAGCCUUUUAUUUAGACGAAAGCAAACGGCCUACAACAAACAUCCAGCGAAGCAGCAUCGAAUCCCACUAGGUUUAUAAUUCUUCAAAACAUGAUUUUCCCGAGAGCUUACUCAAUCCACCUCGUAAGACAUGCAUGCCUUGGCCAUAAACCGACAGGGAGACAUGAUUGCACACGCGCUCAUGGAGCAUACCCCAGCUGCAAGUUUGCAAAGCGUAUAAAAUAGGAACAUGUUUGAGCUCAACAAUCAUAUGUCAUGAAUAAUUACUUUAUGAUUCAGCUUUUGAUGGUUGCAAAGUAUAAUUCAUAGUUCUAUAUUGUUCUCUGUUAUACUCCGUCUAUGCCUAAAUAAUUGUAGUUGGACAGAACUAAACUAGUUCUUCCAACUACAAUUAUUUUGAUACAGAGGGGGUAUUAACCUACUCAUCUUCCUGAGUUUAAACAAAUGAACGAUGAAUGUAGUUGUGUGCAUUGGAUCUAGUAGAUCCAUAUUUUCCGCGUAUUUUUGAGACAGUGAGAGAAGAAAAGUCUUGCCUCACUAUGGAUAAAAUGAUUGCUCGACUUUUUUUCAUAUGUACCACCUGUGGUGUGAGGAAUACAAUUUUCAACUUGUGUUGUUUGGUUUGGGCGGGUAAGGGUACCGUUCAGAGCAUGCCUCUUGGUAAGUACCAUUGCAUGUCUUCCACUAUGGAAAUAAGGAUCUGUGUGGUCUCGGUUGUUACGAGUCCUAGUAUGGGUGCACCCGUCCAUACCCCUGCCGUAUGACAUUCGGGGGAUACCUCGACUGGUUAAGAUAACAUCGCGUGCACUUGUGUUCAGUACCGGUGCUCGGUUUUCUUCCUAUAUCUAUAGAACUGUGUAGCAUCCUCUUGAUAUCCAGUGGAUGACAUAUGUGCAACAAAAAUACAAGGAGAUGUGCAGCAAAAAAACAAGGAGGUGUGGAGCAAAAUCAAUAUUGUGAUAGUCUGUCUUAAUAGGGAUGAUAGACUACUCAUAUCAAUAAUGAAUUCCUUCUUUUCUAGGAUCCUAUUUGGAAAGAACUCUAAAGUUAAGUUUGUUCAUCUUGGAGUAAUUUCAGGAUUACUGACCGACUGGGAAGCUGGUCCCAGGUGCGAACGAGUAAGGACAAAGUGUGCAGAAAAGACUAGUGUUGAUGUGUCAGGCCAAUAAAGAUCCUGUCAGGAUUUACGGCUAAUAACCGAUGCGUGUGUCCGGGGCAUUACACUUAUGGUGCAUCGUCAUUGUGUAAUAAAAUAAGUGCUCACCAUUGAGCAGGAGCUGAUGCACUAAGUGUGGUGUAAGAUCAAAGUUGAAUGUGUUACAGAACCACAAAAAAAUGUUUUGGAAUUGGAAUGGAACAUUGAUGAACUUUUAUGAACCAGUUCUUAUCGAUGUAAGUUUCAUGUAGUUUUGGUUUGUGUUUCGGUAAAUUUUUAUAAAUUACAAAUAGUGAAUGUAACUUUAUGGAACCAUUAUUUUUCAUAGAUGCAAGUUUCAUAUAACUUUUGGUGUCUUAUGUUCUGCCUUCAUGGUUUCUUGUACUUUUGGUACAUGUUUGGAUGUCAUCAUGGUGGUUCGAGACCCACUCGAGAUAUUUCAUUAGUUUGUACAUGGUUACACUAUUUCAUAUCGAUUUUUAUGUAUUUUAGAAUAGUUUGAGUUCCUCUUGCGUUUAUGUUAAAGUUGCACUUAGAUUUGUUGGAAAUUAAUUGAAACCACAACAAAAACUUUGUGUAACAUAAGAAAACAAAAGUGGUCAUUGUCAGAACGGAAAAGGACUUGAUUUUUUUUACAAAGAGUAUAUAUUAAUAUCGAGUAGAUAUCAAUUACACUCAGGCUCUGCAACAACGUAAUGCCCUAAUGGCAUGACGAAUGCACACAGCCAAAAAACAAAAAAAUAACUAAAAAAGAAAAGUCUCGCUACAGAGUUUCAGUACUUGCAACAGCAGCACAACCAUCACCAAGACAACACCUGAUGUUCAAGUACUCCAAAAACGACGCCUCCAAGAAGGAAACAGUGCACAAGCACCGUCGUCGCCCGGUCGUAAAUCUUGAGUUUUCACCCUGGAGAUAAUGCCCGCUCUCCAGCAAUGUCUUCAAUAAGACCAUUGCCAGGCACAACCAAUUAAGGCAGACCUUGCAUUUUCAUCCUGAAAGGUAGGGCCUUGAACUUCACUUGUGAUGUCACCCCCACUUACAUACCACUGCUACGAAUCCUGAAACUCCUAGCAAAUUCCUCAGCGCCGUAGGCUAUAAUCCCCAGUACUAGUCCUUUAAUCUUGGCUUUCAUGACAUUCUCCGCCUCUGACUUUACCAUAUAGUAAGAUAUCUCCUGAUGGAACCAGAUAGCAGAGCUUCGCGCCGCUCUCUCCUUAAUGGAGAACCAAUGGCACGACCGAAUUCCACCCGAUCCAGCAAUCUUCAGGCAUAACACGCCCAUGGGAGUUCGCCGGCGAAGCCUUCCGGAACCCGCCGCUCCGACCAGAUCAGAAAAUUCGUGUAUCGGGCAGAUCUUCGUCUUGGCGCAAGAGGAACACUAGGAUUGUCGCAUUUAUUCAAGCACGCCAGCAGGCCCCACCAUUGCCAUAGGUUUGCAUUACCUUCGGCCAUGACCGCCCGUCCGUCCCUGUCAACCUAUCCACGCCUCCCUUCGGUGCGUCGACAGACGCCGCGCAUGGAAAAGGACUUGAUAGAUUAAAGUUGGACCAAUCUGAAGGAUAUGAUUACUUAGAAAACAUGUGUAUGAAUCUCACAAAAAUGAAUGGUCUAGACUCCAGAUAGACAGGGACGGGAACUUGUAUCUUUUUUGAAGGUAAAGGCCCAAGGUUUGAGUUGGUCAAACCGUUUGUGCUAUGGUCACACAAUAUUAUUCUCGGCCGGCCGGCCGGCCGGAGCAUGUCGUAAGGUAAUGUUGCUUCCAAGCAACCCACGUUAGCUAAGAAUAACUUUACUACUAGUUAGAGAGACCCAGCGCUCAGUUUCGUCUUGCACCGCUGCUUCUUUAUAUACACUUGACGACGGACCACUAUCCUUCAACACAAGCAGCUAGCUAGCAAGUCUCCAAGCUUGGUGAGAGAGGGAGAGAAAGAAGGAGAAGGAUGCUAGAGAUGAAGGCCUGCACGGCCAUAGCUCUGGUGCUCGUUGUAGCAGCACAAUGUGCCGCCCUGGCCACCGCCGCCGGUCCCAGAGUCAUCAUCGUCGGCGCCGGCAUGUCCGGUAAGCCAUACGCUACACACAUGCAUCAUGCAUUUUGCAUGAUAUAUACAUGAUUGCGGGAGGCUGGUUUGAGUGUACAUGUAACGGAUGCAAGUUCUUGUGCUUUGUGUUCUUAGGGAUCUCUGCUGGGAAGAGGCUGUCCGAGGCUGGGAUCACUGACCUGGUGAUCUUGGAGGCGACGGACCGCAUCGGAGGGCGCAUCCACAAGACCAAGUUCGCCGGGGUGAACGUUGAGAUGGGGGCCAACUGGGUGGAAGGGGUGAACGGAGACGAGAUGAACCCCAUCUGGACCAUGGCCAAUGGCACCGGAGGUCUCAACCUGAGGACCUUCCGCUCCGACUUCGACCACCUCGCCAGCAACACCUACAAGCAAG